rnacentral:rRNA from 1 species
UACGUAGGUCGCAAGCGUUGUCCGGAUUUACUGGGCGUAAAGAGCGCGCAGGCGGCUGGUCAAGUCCGAUGUGAAAUCUCCCGGCUUAACUGGGAAACUGCAUCGGAAACUGAUCGGCUUGAGUUCGGGAGAGGGAUGCGGAAUUCCAGGUGUAGCGGUGAAAUGCGUAGAUAUCUGGAGGAACACCGGUGGCGAAGGCGGCAUCCUGGACCGACACUGACGCUGAUGAGCGAAAGCCAGGGGAGCAAAACGGGG